AACGAACGCUGGCGGCGUGCCUAACACAUGCAAGUCGAGCGGGAAAGUGGGGGCAACUCCACGAGUACAGCGGCGCACGGGUGAGUAACACGUAGGUAACCUGCCCACGGGACCGGGAUAACCUGUCGAAAGACGGGCUAAUACCGGAUAAGACCACGAUAGUUUCGGCUUUUGCGGUAAAAGAUGGCCUCUGCUUGCAAGCUAUCACCUGAGGAUGGGCCUGCGCGCCAUUAGCUAGUUGGUGAGGUAACGG
rnacentral:rRNA from 1 species